rnacentral:rRNA from 1 species
AGCUCCAAUAGCGUAUAUUAAAGUUGUUGCAGUUAAAAAGCUCGUAGUCGGACUUCGGGCGUGCCGCACGACUCGGCCUCUGGUCGUGCUUGUGUGGUGCGCCUUCCUUCCAGCGAGUGCGUGGGCUCUUCACUGGGUUUGCGUAUGAGUUGGGAUGUUUACUGUGAACAAAUUAGAGUGUUCAAAGCAGGCUUAGGCCGUUGGAUACAUUAGCAUGGAAUAAUGAGAUAGGGCCACGGCGGUCUAUUUUGUUGGUUUGCACGUUGUGGUAAUGAUUAACAGGAACGGUUGGGGGUAUUCGUAUUCAAUUGUCAGAGGUGAAAUUCUUGGAUUUGUGGAAGACGAACUACUGCGAAAGCAUUUACCAAGGAUGUUUUCAUUAAUCAAGAACGAAAGUAGG